GAUUCUAGUAGCACCUGCACAGCCAGAGCCACACCCAGGCACUUGCUUUGCUGCAGUUUGGGAGGGAUCCGUGUUCCAGAGCAGCGGCUCCACCAACCUUAGCAUGCCUCAGUUGCUGGGCUCCCAGAGUUUUUGGAUAAGGAAACCGUAGUCCGAAGAGAUUAAAUGAGUGUUCGAGGCCAUUAGCAUCAGGAAUGGAAGGGAAUCCAGGGCUCCGGAGAAGGGAGUGGAGGCAGGACACGGUGAGCCUCUCGGGCCAGGAAUUGGAGGAAAGCAAAAUAAUGAAGCUGGAGCUUAAUGAACAAGGAAGAGACUGGAGCAAAUCAAGCUGGGGUUGAACAGCCAAGACCCAACAGUAACAGGAACAAACCUGAUCCAUGUGGCAGGAAAAAGAGGAACCUGAACCCCUCUGCAAGUAUUCUCUUUCCUGACCAGCUGGGCUUGCCGCACUUUGUGAGAU